AUACCAACAGGGAUUGCCCUAGUAACGGCGAGUGAAGCGGCAACAGCUCAAAUUUGAAAUCUGGCUCUUUUAGAGUCCGAGUUGUAAUUUGCAGAGGGCGCUUUGGCUUUGGCAGCGGUCCAAGUUCCUUGGAACAGGACGUCACAGAGGGUGAGAAUCCCGUACGUGGUCGCUGGCUAUUGCCGUGUAAAGCCCCUUCGACGAGUCGAGUUGUUUGGGAAUGCAGCUCUAAAUGGGAGGUACAUUUCUUCUAAAGCUAAAUAUUGGCCAGAGACCGAUAGCGCACAAGUAGAGUGAUCGAAAGAUGAAAAGCACUUUGGAAAGAGAGUCAAACAGCACGUGAAAUUGUUGAAAGGGAAGCGCUUGCAGCCAGACUUGCUUACAGUUGCUCAUCCGGGUUUCUACCCGGUGCACUCUUCUGUAGGCAGGCCAGCAUCAGUUUGGGCGGUAGGAUAAAGGUCUCUGUCACGUACCUCCUUUCGGGGAGGCCUUAUAGGGGAGACGACAUACUACCAGCCUGGACUGAGGUCCGCGCAUCUGCUAGGAUGCUGGCGUAAUGGCUGUAAGCGGCCCGUCUUGAAACACGGACCAAGGAGUCUAACAUCUAUGCGAGUGUUUGGGUGUCAAGCCCGAGCGCGUAAUGAAAGUGAACGGAGGUGGGAACCCGCAAGGGUGCACCAUCGACCGAUCCUGAUGUCUUCGGAAGGAUUUGAGUAAGAGCAUGGCUGUUGGGACCCGAAAGAUGGUGAACUAUGCUUGAAUAGGGUGAAGCCAGAGGAAACUCUGGUGGAGGCUCGCAGCGGUUCUGACGUGCAAAUCGAUCGUCAAAUUUGGGCAUAGGGGCGAAAGACUAAUCGAACAUCAAUGUC
rnacentral:rRNA from 1 species